rnacentral:misc_RNA from 1 species
UCCGAGUUGACCCCGGCAGUCUCCCAUGAGUCCCCACCAUCACGUGCUGGCAACAUGGAACGAGGGUUGCGCUCGUUGCGGGACUUAACCCAACAUUUCACAACACGAGCUGACGACAGCCAUGCACCACCUGUGAAGGUGUCCCGAAGGAAAGCCGUGUUUCCACGGCGGUCACCCACAUGUCAAGCCCAGGUAAGGUUCUUCGCGUUGCGUCGAAUUAAACCACAUGCUCCGCUGCUUGUGCGGGCCCCCGUCAAUUCCUUUGAGUUUUAGCCUUGCGGCCGUACUCCCCAGGCGGGAUACUUAACGCGUUAACUUCGGCACAGAGGGAUUCGACUCCCCCCACACCCAGUAUCCAUCGUUUACGGCGUGGACUAC